rnacentral:lncRNA from 1 species
UCAAUUUGAAGCAAAUACCCAUGUUGGACGCCUUUGGAAUCGCACAAGAGGCUCAAUUUUCAGAAUGCUGUCAAAACCGCCCAAGCUGAGCGCGAGAAAUCCAAGCUGGGCGUGAGAAGUGCAGAGAAAUUCCAGGCUGGGCGCCACAGAAUGGAGCUGGGCGCCAGAGAAUCCGCGUUGGGCGCCAGGAAUCCGCGCUGGGCGCGAGAUCUUGCUGGAAUUCACUUCUGGUGCAGUGAAAAGUGGCGCUGGGCGUGAGAAUUCCGAGCUGGGCGCGAAUUCUCGCUGAUAUGUCAAAAAUGGGUUAUUUAAACAUGGGUCUUGGGAUUUUUGAGGGACUUCUCCUCCUACACUUCAUUCUUCACCUAGAGAGAUUGGGAGAGGCCCUUGGAGGCUAUUUGGGGUGUUG